rnacentral:rRNA from 1 species
UACGAAGGGGGCUAGCGUUGCUCGGAAUUACUGGGCGUAAAGCGCACGUAGGCGGCUUUCUAAGUCGGGGGUGAAAUCCUGGAGCUCAACUCCAGAACUGCCUUCGAUACUGGAAAGCUCGAGUCCGGGGGAGGUGAGUGGAACUGCGAGUGUAGAGGUGAAAUUCGUAGAUAUUCGCAAGAACACCAGUGGCGAAGGCGGCUCACUGGCCCGGUACUGACGCUGAGGUGCGAAAGCGUGGGGAGCAAACAGG